rnacentral:rRNA from 1 species
GUAGGGAAUCUUCCACAAUGGACGAAAGUCUGAUGGAGCAACGCUGCGUGAGUGAAGAAGGUCUUCGGAUCGUAAAACUCUGUUGUUAGAGAAGAACGUGCAUGAUAGUAACUGAUCAUGUAAUGACGGUAUCUAACCAGAAAGCCACGGCUAACUACGUGCCAGCAGCCGCGGUAAUACGUAGGUGGCAAGCGUUGUCCGGAUUUAUUGGGCGUAAAGGGAACGCAGGCGGUUUUUUAAGUCUGAUGUGAAAGCCUUCGGCUUAACCGAAGAAUAGCAUUGGAAACUGGAAGACUUGAGUGCAGAAGAGGAGAGUGGAAUUCCAUGUGUAGCGGUGAAAUGCGUAGAUAUAUGGAGGAACACCAGUGGCGAAAGCGGCUCUCUGGUCUGUAACUGACGCUGAGGUUCGAAAGCGUGGGUAGCAAACAGGAUUAGAAACCCCAGUAGUCC